rnacentral:rRNA from 1 species
CCUACGGGAGGCAGCAGUGAGGAAUAUUGGUCAAUGGGCGGAAGCCUGAACGAGCAAAGUAGCGUGCAGGAUGACGGCCCUACGGGUUGUAAACUGCUUUUAUACGGGAAUAACGCGCCUUACGUGUAGGGCUUUGCAUGUACCGUAUGAUUAAGGAACGGCUAAGUCCGUGCCAGCAGCCGAGGUAAUAUGGAAGGUCCGGGCGGUAUCCGGAUUUAUUUGGUUUAAAGGGAGCGUAGGCCGCAUGUCAAGCGUGCUGUGAAAUGUCAGGGCUCAACCCGUGCCUUGCAGCGCGAAUUGGCGUGCGUGAGUCCGCGGAAAGCAGGCGGAAUGCGUCGUGUAGCGGUGAAAUGCUGAGAGAUGACGAAGAA